CGGUUGAUCCUGCCGGAUCCGACUGCUAUCCGGGUAAGACUAAGCCAUGCCAGUCGAAUGGAACUUCGGUUCCAUGGCAUACUGCUCCGUAACAAGUAAUCAACUUACCCUACAGUGGGGUAUAAUCUCGGGAAACUGAGGCUAAUUCCCCAUAGUUGAAAUCUCCUGGAAUGGGUUUUCAUCGAAAGAUUUAUCGCUGUAGGAUAGGAUUGCUCUCGAUUAUGGUAGUUGGUGAGGUAGUGGCUCACCAAGCCUAUGAUCGAUAAGGGCCGUGAGAGCGGGAGCCCUGAGAUGAAUACUGAGACAAUGAUUCAGGCCUUACGAGGCGCAGCAGGCGCGAAACCUUUACAAUGCACGCAAGUGUGAUAAGGUUACCCGGAGUGCCGAGAGAAAAACUGUCGGCUGUUAUAGGUGUGUAAAAUACCCUAUGAGAAAGGAGAGGGCAAGGCUGGUGCCAGCCGCCGCGGUAAAACCAGCUCUUCAAGUGGUCGGGACUUUUAUUGGGCUUAAAGCGUCCGUAGCCGGUUUAAUAAGUUCCUGGUUAAAUCUGACAGCUUAACUGUCAGUUCGCUAGGAAUACUGUUUUACUAGAGGGUGGGAGAGGUCUGAGGUACUCUAUGGGUAGCGGUGAAAUGUGAUAAUCCUUAGGGGACCACCAGUGGCGAAGGCGUCAGACUGGAACACGCCUGACGGUGAGGGACGAAAGCUAGGGGAGCGAACGGGAUUAGAUACCCCGGUAGUCCUAGCUGUAAACGAUGCGUGCUAUGUGUUGGNAGGGCUUUGAGCCGUAUCAGUGCCAAAGGGAAACUGUUAAGCNNNCCGCCUGGGAANUACGCUCGCA
rnacentral:rRNA from 1 species